rnacentral:lncRNA from 7 species
CAGAUGAACAUAGCAGACAGGAUCCAAACAGGAUCAGAUGCUGAAGGAUGAUUUGAACUGGAUCACAACCUCGUCAACAUCCCUUAAACUACCUGCAUGUACCAAGAAAGCUGGGAACAGACCUUUGCCCAUGAAGGAACAGCCCUGCUUCAGGAGGUACUUGCUGAUGGCUCUCUACAUUACUCUUCGAAGGUUUCUGACUCUGACCACUGACUGCAUGGGUAGCACCAAGUGCCUGACAGGUUUCUGAGAUGCGGCUGAGGACUGUAUCACAAGGAAAAUAGCACAGGAGCAUUCCCAAGUCUCUAAAUCCUCAAUGUCAUUUUGCAGGGCGGGGAAAAAAAAAGCACAGUCCCUGUAUAUUGUCAGUCAACUUCUCAACAAAAUCCCCCUAUAUAUUAUAUUCAAGUGAGAGUUUGGGUACAGGCCCAUCUAUCACAUUUACAAGCCCCUGAUCUGUGUGGGAAUAGAAGAAGCUAAACAACGAAGGAGAUGCCUAACCACCACACAUUUGAAGAACUAGCAUGCUCUUUUUUAAUACAAGCUAUCAUGAAAGGUUAUGGGAAAGCAUUCUGAAAUCAACUGAUGCUUAAAAGUCUCAUAGAACACAGCAAAGUAAUGUAAUCAAAAUUUGAUCCAUUUAUAGCUCUUUCUAAUUCUGUCCCUGAAACAUAAUCUCUUUUCAUGUACAAUAUGGGAGUGCGCUGCUUUGUGAAUCUUUUGCAUACAGUACAACUGACGAUACUUUGGAUGAGAAGGAUGAGAUAGCUUUCAGUCUUACAAAGGUAACAGGCCACUUUAAUGAAUGUUUAGAAUUUGUGUUUAAUAUUUAAUCAGCUUAACACUUUGAUUUAUGUAGGCUACUGUAUAUCCUCCAAGGGCAUGAGGAGAGUACUUUCAAGGAAGAGCAUUUGGGGAGAAAAAUGUUGACAUUUCUACUCCAGUUAAACUCCUAAUUGUGCAUAAAUCUUUUAUACUU